rnacentral:rRNA from 1 species
CACGUAGGGUGCGAGCGUUGUCCGGAAUUAUUGGGCGUAAAGAGCUCGUAGGCGGUGUGUCGCGUCGGCCGUGAAAACCUGCAGCUUAACUGUGGGCUUGCGGUCGAUACGGGCAUCACUGGAGUUCGGCAGGGGAGACUGGAAUUCCUGGUGUAGCGGUGAAAUGCGCAGAUAUCAGGAGGAACACCGGUGGCGAAGGCAGCUCGCUGGGACGUUACUGACACUGAGGCGCGAAAGCGUGGGGAGCGAACAGG